rnacentral:rRNA from 1 species
CUACGUGCCAGCAGCCGCGGUAAUACGUAGGUCCCGAGCGUUGUCCGGAUUUAUUGGGCGUAAAGCGAGCGCAGGCGGUUAGAUAAGUCUGAAGUUAAAGGCUGUGGCUUAACCAUAGUACGCUUUGGAAACUGUUUAACUUGAGUGCAAGAGGGGAGAGUGGAAUUCCAUGUGUAGCGGUGAAAUGCGUAGAUAUAUGGAGGAACACCGGUGGCGAAAGCGGCUCUCUGGCUUGUAACUGACGCUGAGGCUCGAAAGCGUGGGGAGCAAACAGGAUUAGAUACCCUGGUAGUCCACGCCGUAAACGAUGAGUGCUAGGUGUUAGACCCUUUCCGGGGUUUAGUGCCGCAGCUAACGCAUUAAGCACUCCGCCUGGGGAGUACGACCGCAAGGUUAAAACUCAAAUGAAUUGACGGGGGCCCGCACAAGCGGUGGAGCAUGUGGUUUAAUUCGAUGCAACGCGAAGAACCUUACC